rnacentral:ribozyme from 1 species
CCUCCUACCCUCCUUCUUCCUCUCCCUCUUCCUACCCCUCUUCUUACCCCUCUUCCUCCUACCCUCCUUCCUCCUCCUCAUACUCCUCCUCCUCCUACCCUCCCUCC